GGUGGCUGCUUCCUGUGGCACACCCUCUGUUGUUCCCACCCCCUUCCUUGGCGUGCUGCUUGGCGUGGCUGGGUGAAUGCUCUCCAUUGUUCUGGGAAUUCUCACAAGCGUGCGGUAGACUGAAGUUUUGCUUCUUGGGAGUUUUCUCUGACUAAUCCUGGUGCUAAAAGUUUCUCCUGCUCCAUUUCAGAGCUGAGACUUGUGAGUGUGAAGAUACUAGAAGCGUUGUGACUUUCCCGCUGUCUGACGUGGAGAAGUGAAGCCUUGGAAGCCGGGGUGGUGGAGUACGAGGAGUGUCCAAUUCAGCUCUUCCUGUGUGUGUGUGAUCACCUGUUCCCCUCCUCUCUAAUGCUCCUCCCUCUGCAAUAGUGCUACUGUUUUUUUUUUUU